GACGAACGCUGGCGGCGUGCUUAACACAUGCAAGUCGAACGAAGAGCGACGGAAGCUUGCUUCUAUCAAUCUUAGUGGCGAACGGGUGAGUAACGCGUAAUCAACCUGCCCUUCAGAGGGGGACAACAGUUGGAAACGACUGCUAAUACCGCAUACGAUCUAAUCUCGGCAUCGAGGAUAGAUGAAAGGUGGCCUCUACAUGUAAGCUAUCACUGAAGGAGGGGAUUGCGUCUGAUUAGCUAGUUGGAGGGGUAACGGCCCACCAAGGCGAUGAUCAGUAGCCGGUCUGAGAGGAUGAACGGCCACAUUGGGACUGAGACACGGCCCAGACUCCUACGGGAGGCAGCAGUGGGGAAUCUUCCGCAAUGGACGAAAGUCUGACGGAGCAACGCCGCGUGAGUGAUGACGGCCUUCGGGUUGUAAAGCUCUGUUAAUCGGGACGA
rnacentral:rRNA from 1 species